ensembl:lncRNA
AGGACUAGCCGUUCAAAAGACUUCAUGACUACAGAGGUCAGGGCGACGGGCCUGUAGUCAUUGAGUCCUGUGAUCCUGGGCCUCUUGGGAACAGGAAUGAUGGUGGAGGCCUUGAAGCAGGCUGGUACGUGGCAUGUCUCCAGGGAGGUGUUGAAGAUGUCUGUGAACACCGGAGACAGCUGGUCAGCACAAUACUUCAGUCCGGACCGGCUGCUUUGCGAUUACGGAGCCGACCUACCCAACACUAACGGAAUCGGUCGACAGACUUUGCUGACGAACACAAACGGAGGUAAACUUUCUUACUACUUACUUUCCAACUUAAAUUGACUUGAUUAUCAGUCCACAAUAAAUUAAAUGAAAACAAUUGCCUGAAGUCAUUAAUUCAUUUAUGGAUGAAUUAGAGGUUCUGGUAAUGUCAGCAAGUGGAGCGGAGUCCGGUCUUCACACCGAGCUCACAGCGUCAGGUCUUGGACUUCAGCCAAAUGUCACAGUGUCGCCCCUCGCUGUCCUCCACACAGACACACUGCCCUCAGUUUCGCAUGGGUACUCCCACACAGAGCUGGUUAGCAUGGCAACAGACUCCACAGGGACAUACACAGUUUCAGCAGAUCCAACAGGAACUCCAUUUGACUUCAGUCAUCCAGCUGUGACGGAUCACACACAGAUGGCUGGUCAAGUCACUGAACAGUACUACCCAUCUGGUCAGGGUCCUGAAGGUACAAAAAAUGUGGAAUUGGAGGAUACCUGCUGACUUCCACAUAAAGCCGCAAGUUCGAUUCCUGCGCUACAGCUUCCAGUGUACCGACAAAUCAGCAAUGCCGAGGAAAUCAACCCCCUUCCACUAGCCGUAGGCCACGCCCACUGAGUGCCAGCAACUCAUUGGUGUUUUUUUUUUAAUAUUUAAAAUGUGGAAUUCUGUUUAUAGAAUUGUAUUUUGUCUUAGAGAAAAAUUAUGGAAAAAAAAUUUCAGCUAAUUUUUCCAUGUUUCUGAUUUGACUUCCUCUUCACAAUCAGGAUUGUAAACUUCUAC